UACGGAAGGGGCAAGCGUUGUUCGGAAUCACUGGGCGUAAAGCGCACGUAGGCGGAUUGUUAAGUCAGGGGUGAAAUCCUGGAGCUCAACUCCAGAACUGCCUUUGAUACUGGCGAUCUUGAGUCCGGGAGAGGUGAGUGGAACUGCGAGUGUAGAGGUGAAAUUCGUAGAUAUUCGCAAGAACACCAGUGGCGAAGGCGGCUCACUGGUCCGGUACUGACGCUGAGGUGCGAAAGCGUGGGGAGCAAACAGG
rnacentral:rRNA from 1 species